GAUAUUUGAUCCGAUGAAACGGGGGUUAAUUUAAAUGCAAAGUAAUUAAUUAGACACUUGGCUGGCAAAUCAAGUAAUCCAAUCUGGAGCAAAGGACCCGCAGGAGGACUAAUCAAGGCCAGACCCUGGCCAGGCGAUCCGCAAAGUGACCAGCGGGCUGGCCAAAUGUGCUGUACCAUAGCAUUCGAGUGGGAAACGAGUAUGUGCCAUAUAUCAAUGCUGCCGUGCUUAUCCACUCAGUGCCCAGACAAUGGCAAUUUCAAUGAUUUUGUUUAGCUCAGUGAUUCGGAGAAUUGAGUUCGGCUGCGAGCCGUCCGUCCACAUACGUAUAGUAUUAUCCACAUGCUACGUGCUGCAGGCAAAUCGAGGACGCACAAACCCACCGACGCACACGAUUCGAAUGCCUCUCAAUGAAUUGCUGCCAAUUUGCAAUGGUUAAUGAAACGCUUUGUGCCGUGUCGAUUGCAUCGAAUCGGUGCUCAUCUCCGGACAGAGAUUCUGCACUUUAACCCGCUCACUUUCCUUAUUUUCUUUGACAUUCGAGUUACAUUUUGGCCAAGUUCCAUCGAUUGACGUUCGAAUGAACUCUGCACUGGGAAAAUAAAUUCGAAUAUAUCCUA
ensembl:ncRNA lncRNA:CR43486 long non-coding RNA:CR43486